CACAAGCGGUGGAGCAUGUGGUUUAAUUCGAUGCAACGCGAAGAACCUUACCUGGCCUUGACAUCCAGAGAACUUAGCAGAGAUGCUUUGGUGCCUUCGGGAACUCUGAGACAGGUGCUGCAUGGCUGUCGUCAGCUCGUGUUGUGAAAUGUUGGGUUAAGUCCCGCAACGAGCGCAACCCUUAUCCUUUGUUGCCAGCGGUUCGGCCGGGAACUCAAAGGAGACUGCCGGUGAUAAACCGGAGGAAGGUGGGGAUGACGUCAAGUCAUCAUGGCCCUUACGGCCAGGGCUACACACGUGCUACAAUGGCGCAUACAAAGAGAAGCGACCUCGCGAGAGCAAGCGGACCUCAUAAAGUGCGUCGUAGUCCGGAUUGGAGUCUGCAACUCGACUCCAUGAAGUCGGAAUCGCUAGUAAUCGUAGAUCAGAAUGCUACG
rnacentral:rRNA from 1 species